ensembl:lncRNA
GUAAGUUCAUUCCGCCAGGUUUUCACCUGCGUGAAGUGAGAGGGCUGGAUAUGGAGCUCUCCAGAGAGCCCCCCUCCCAACUCCGGGAGAGGAGGCCACAGAGGCUGGGAGCCCUGGCUCUGGAGUCAGCUGCAGGCUCGGUUGUGUGACCUUGAGCAAGUCACUUGCCACCCUAUCUUAGCUGAAUGACCGAAUGCAGGUGAUGCUGAAACUCCUGAAGGAAUCGUGUCAUCUUGAGCUGCUCAAGUUUAUUUCCACUAAAAAUACACCCUGAAACUGGGGCACAAUGAAGGAUUUCUGACAAAUGGGGAAGAGGAAUAAAUAAAAACUCUGGGGCCUUCUGAUUCUUCACUGAGUCACCUCCAAAUACUCACCAGUGAGCUGAGCUUGGACUCUCUCCACUCGUCGCUGUCAUCAGUAAAAGCUCAGGCAGUCCGUGUGGUCUGGGAGCUUAAAAGUCUCGAAGCUUGUGAGUCAUUGUUAGGAGAGGCCCCUGAUGGAACUGAACCCUGCAUCUACCAGGGAGGAAACAGAAGAACUAGAGGGGAAGUGACUUGGUCCUGCACCAUUCGGAUGAGUGUGCUGGAGAGGGACUUAGAGCCUGCACCCGGCCUCCUCACUUCACCACCCCAACUCCCCAGUCUUCCCAAGCCCCCCGCCUGCACCCAGCACCUGUGUCUGCCGUUCCUGUGGCACAUCUUAAGGCAGCCUAGGCAUGCCAGGGGGCGGUCAAUGAGAGAAUCCUCAGUUAGCAAUAAAGAAUGCUUUCAGCUUCAGGUUACAGAAAACCAGAUCAAUGGCAGCUCAACUGUAAGGACAUUAGUGUUGACUCAUUGAGACUAGGGAGGGAGGUAGCCCCAGGCUGAGACCACUGACUCAGCCAUGUCAAGAAGGAUCCAAGUUCCCCACUCUGCCAUUCUGGGGAUUUUAACUCUUUACCCUCAAGCUUAUUGCCUCAUAUCACAAAAUGGUUGCCACGGCUCUGGAUAUCAAGUCCUUAUAAAUAGUAUGCAAAGCUAAAAGGAGUUACCUAAAAAAAAAAAAGUUUCCUUCUCUGCCUUCUCCUUGGGUAGCUCUCUCUCUUCUGUGCAUACGUAUGUGCCCAGUCAAAUCCAACUCUUUGUGACCCCAUGAACUAUAGCCCCCCAGGCUCCUCUAUCCAUGGGAUUUUUCAGGCAAGAAUACUGGAG